AAUACCGAAUAUUGUCCGGAGCCGUGAAGGGUUCCGGGGAAAGGGAGGGCCUCUGAUACAAGCUUUCGCCUUAAGAUGAGCCCAUGGCCCAUCAGCUAGUUGGUAGGGUAAAGGCCUACCAAGGCUACGACGGGUCGCUGGUCUGAGAGGACGACCAGCCACACUGGCACUGAGAUACGGGCCAGACUCCUACGGGAGGCAGCAGUGAGGAAUAUUGCGCAAUGGGGGAAACCCUGACGCAGCAACGCCGCGUGUGGGAAGAAGGCCUUCGGGUCGUAAACCACUUUUGCACGGGACGAAAAAGGGAUAUCGAACAAAUAUCCCCGAUGACGGUACCGUGAGAAUAAGCCACGGCUAACUCUGUGCCAGCAGCCGCGGUAAGACAGAGGUGGCAAGCGUUGUUCGGAAUUACUGGGCGUAAAGAGUCUGUAGGUGGUU
rnacentral:rRNA from 1 species